AUUUCAUUGACGUAUGAUAGGUUUGUAUUGCCAAGGGCAAAAUAAGAGCUGGUGACGUGUAAUAAACUAGAGUCCUGAGAUUUCACGUCGUGCGGCACGUGUAUAACUCUUGUCCACGAACCAACCUACAGAAAAUGAUAUCGUUGUAUCACUACUGCGACACGUGACUGGCACUUCAUAAACGUACAUCAUAUCUCUUCUUCGUUUGUGCGUGCCGAUAACUUUUUCAUCGACGUCUGUCUUGUCAAUGUUAUAAUGAUAGCCACUUUUGAUACUGUUCUUUUUUAUUAAUUUAUUUUAUUCUGUUACAUCUAUGUCAAUUCUUAUAUCAAAAUUGCUGACUUAUAUGAAAUAAAAGUCUUCAUUAUUAUGACAUAAUACUAAAUACAGUUCUUAGAUUGAAAAUAAAAGUUACAAGUUUUAGGUUAGUUUGAUCAAUCAUACAAAUCAUCAGUCACAAGUUUGUUUCUGGAAGUUUGGAUGUGACGAGUACAAGAGGUGGUACGUGAGUGCUGGAAGCCAUAAGAAAAGGGUAGUUUUUUGGUAUAACGACGAUCUGAUGCCAGAUUCUUGUUUCAAGCCUGGAAAAAAGCUGCAGUAGAGAAACUUGGAAAAGCAUAACAACCAAUGACAGGCAGAUGUUGAAAAGUGUACAAUUUCAGCUUUUGGAGAUUAAAGAAAAUGUUGACCUUUAUCAUACCACCGUAGUAAUUUUGUCUAUUUUGAAAAAUUAAAUGAAACUCCCUUUUUCUUACUAAACAGUAAUUUAAAACCUACACUGGCUUGACAUCGUAUUGA